rnacentral:tRNA from 1 species
UCCUGGAUAGCUCAGUCAGUUGAGCAACAGACUUUUAAUCUGAGGGUCCAGGGUUCAAGUCCCUGUUCGGGCG